UACGGAGGGUGCGAGCGUUGUCCGGAAUCACUGGGCGUAAAGGGCGCGUAGGCGGCCUGAUAAGUAGGGGGUGAAAUCCUGCGGCUUAACCGCAGGGCUGCCUUCUAAACUGUCAGGCUCGAGCACAGUAGAGGCAGGUGGAAUUCCCGGUGUAGCGGUGGAAUGCGUAGAGAUCGGGAAGAACACCGGUGGCGAAGGCGGCCUGCUGGGCUAUGGCUGACACUGAGGCGCGACAGCGUGGGGAGCAAACAGG
rnacentral:rRNA from 1 species